UACGGUAGGGUGCGAGCGUUGUCCGGAAUUAUUGGGCGUAAAGAGCGUGUAGGCGGCCAGACAGGUCCGUUGUGAAACUCGAGGCUCAACCUCGAGAUGUCGAUGGAAACCGUCUGGCUAGAGUCCGGAAGAGGAGUGUGGAAUUCCUGGUGUAGCGGUGAAAUGCGCAGAUAUCAGGAAGAACACCUAUGGCGAAGGCAGCACUCUGGGACGGUACUGACGCUGAGACGCGAAAGCGUGGGGGAGCGAACAGG
rnacentral:rRNA from 1 species